CGCUAUCAGAUGAGCCUAGGUCGGAUUAGCUAGUUGGUGGGGUAAAGGCUCACCAAGGCGACGAUCCGUAACUGGUCUGAGAGGAUGAUCAGUCACACUGGAACUGAGACACGGUCCAGACUCCUACGGGAGGCAGCAGUGGGGAAUAUUGGACAAUGGGCGAAAGCCUGAUCCAGCCAUGCCGCGUGUGUGAAGAAGGUCUUCGGAUUGUAAAGCACUUUAAGUUGGGAGGAAGGGCAGUAACUUAAUACGUUGCUGUUUUGACGUUACCGACAGAAUAAGCACCGGCUAACUCUGUGCCAGCAGCCGCGGUAAUACAGAGGGUGCAAGCGUUAAUCGGAAUUACUGGGCGUAAAGCGCGCGUAGGUGGUUUGUUAAGUUGGAUGUGAAAUCCCCGGGCUCAACCUGGGAACUGCAUUCAAAACUGACAAGCUAGAGUAUGGUAGAGGGUGGUGGAAUUUCCUGUGUAGCGGUGAAAUGC
rnacentral:rRNA from 1 species